rnacentral:rRNA from 1 species
CCUACGGGGGGCAGCAGUGAGGAAUAUUGGUCAAUGGACGAGAGUCUGAACCAGCCAAGUAGCGUGAAGGAUGACUGCCCUAUGGGUUGUAAACUUCUUUUAUAUGGGAAUAAAACGUUCCACGUGUGGGAUUUUGUAUGUACCAUAUGAAUAAGUAUCGGCUAACUCCGUGCCAGCAGCCGCGGUAAUACGGAGGAUCCGAGCGUUAUCCGGAUUUAUUGGGUUUAAAGGGAGCGUAGGUGGAUUGUUAAGUCAGUUGUGAAAGUUUGCGGCUCAACCGUAAAAUUGCAGUUGAAACUGGCAGUCUUGAGUACAGUAGAGGUGGGCGGAAUUCGUGGUGUAGCGGUGAAAUGCUUAGAUAUCACGAAGAACUCCGAUUGCGAAGGCAGUUCACUGGACUGCAACUGACACUGAGGCUCGAAAGUGUGGGUAUCAAACAGGAUUAGAUACCCGAGUAGUC